CCUUGACUGAGAUCUGUGUCAAAGUUUACUUUCAGAAUUGCUCUCCAGUCUCAAUACACCUGUCACAGUAAAAAACCUGACGUGAUUACCAAUGAAUAGUAGCUGGGAUAUUAAAAAUGUCAUUACGAUUCUGCUCCUUAUUUUGCAUUGUAAAGGUGCAAAGGCCCAGUCUACAAAGAAGAUAGCCAUCUUAGCUGGCACGGACGUUACCUUAAACUGCUUUUUCAAGAAGCCUGAACGUGUACCACUGAAGAAAAUCACGGUUGAGUGGGGGAUGAUAGUGGAUAAAGAGACCAUAAAGCACCUAGUGUAUACGCUCCAGAAUGGGAGCGCCAAGGUGCAUCGUGAAGGGUCUCGAGUCGACCAAACGGGGUUGCUUCAGGGCAAUGCAUCCCUUCGUUUGUUCAACAUGACCGUGGCCGAUGAGGGACUCUACCGCUGCAGAGUGAUCAUCACUCCCAACACAUACAAAGUUUCCUCACAGCUGGAAGUAUCAGCCAGACCCUUGGUGUCCCUCCCAGAGACCGCCACGGUGAUGGAGGGGGAGGAAAGGACAUUGAUGUGUGACAUCACGGGAUUCUACCCAGAGAAUCUGGCCGUGACCUGGCUGAUCCAAAAUGUCUCCCGGGUGGCCCGUGGGAGCAUGGCUCGCGGGGCCAUCUCACGGGAUGUGUGCACUGGAAUGGCUGUGCCCAAUCCAGACGGCACCUACAGUGUCAGCAGUCACAUCACUGUCCAGGCUUCAGCCGUAGGGAGCGGAGGAGCCAUGUACAUCUGUCACAUCGAACAUAGGUCCUACCCUGAUGGGAAAUACAGCAAAAGCAUCUUGUUGACCGUGCAAGAUCCAGGGUUUAAUGCCGUAACACUGAUGGUAGUUACUAGUCUUGUUAGUGUUCUUCUGGUCUUCUCUGUCAUCGGUGGUGCAAUGGUCUUCUACAGGUAUUUUUACACAGUUCCUCCCAGCAUCUCUGACAUCAUCAAACCCACCAUCGUUUAUGCAAUGAAGCCGACCAACUUAAAAUGCACCAUUAAAAGAGUACGACUUAGAGAGCUCAAAGUGAAAUGGUACAAGAUAACAGCCAAUAGGGACUGUAACGCAGCUUCCAAUAGCCAAUCAACGGCACUGUUGAGCCGCAAGGACCUGAGUGACCAGGCUAACAUCCACUCUGAGGGCAUGCAUCACGUGUCCACCCUGUCCGUCUGUUUGUCAGUCAGUGAGGACCAGGCUAAGUACCUGUGUGUUGUGUUGUACAGAGGCAGGAGGAUCACCAGGGAGACCACUGUGAGUGUAAAAGUGACUCCAUCGUUCUUUCACAUCUCCAGCAUGCCUCAGAUCCCAGAGGUGAAGAGGUUGCUGGUGCUAUGCUGUCGGGUCGAGAAGUUCUACCCGGACGACCUCCAUCUCGAGUGGUCGAGAAAUGACGGGGAGCAGGUGGGGACAGCCACUAACUAUGGACCGUUCUCUGACCACGAGCGGAUGUACAGCAUGUGGAGUAAGAUCGAACUGACAAUAGCUCAGGAAGACGAGAGGGCGGUCUACACAUGCCGCUUGUAUCACUCCAGUUUCCCCGGGCCAGGAUACAAAGACGUUCUCUAUCAUAUCAACACACAAGGUACUCCUCCAAGCGUGAUGUUCAUCAAGUGUGAGCCACUACUCCCUCUGCUGGAUGAGGAGUGCACGCUCAACCUCUGCGUCAAAGACUUCUGUCCUGAACAAGUGUCUGUCACAUGGUUUAAGGACGGACAGACGGUCCCCAACAGCCAGUUCUUCAACUCCCCACCCAGCCUCAACGUCAAUGGCCUCUACUCUAUGUGGAGCUUCCUCAAACUGAGCCCCACCAUGGAGGACUACGGCUCAGAGUUCAGGUGCAGGGUGGUCCACAGUGCCCAGAAGGAACCGGAGGAGAGGGUGUUCACACAUCACAUCUCAUAGUCACCUAGUCAAGGGAAGUCAGACCUUUGUUCAAAUACUUUGUUUGCACUUUUGGGACUUUUCUAUUGGUUCCAUUACAACAGGAAAGCUCAAUAAAGGACGGCUUAAGUAUUUGAAA